GAUGUGUUAAAAUUCAAGGCAACAACAGGUUUGAGGUUCCUUUAAGGAGGUAUUACUGUAAUUUUCCUCUGGUUUUUUUUUUUUUUUUCAAUCUGCAGGGUAACAAAAACCCAAGAGCAUCAUGUGGUUGUUUAGAAAACGUAUUCUUUUUAAUAGACAUGAACUAGCUACCUUUGUGAGGGCACACCAGAGUUUUAUAAGGAUUCAAAACAUAAACAUUUCACCACAUUUAGUCCUUUCAUGUAAAUCACUUUGAAAUGUCCUGUUGUUGAACAUGUGCUUUACAAAUACCUUCCCUGGACGAAACACAUGUAUUUUGGAAGGCUGAAGAGGAAGACUUUUAGACAAAAUUUAUUUUAAAAAAUGUCAAAAUUUGUCCCAUAAUGCACAAGCUGUCCAAAAGAAUCGCCUUCUGCGCCAUAUAAAUACAAUAAAAAACAAAAAUACCCAGUAAUUCAACAAAUUUAAGAUGUGAACUUCCAAUUGCUUUCCUGUCAAUAUUAUUCUGAUUACCAAUCGUAUUAUUUUUCACCAACUAUAUUUAUGACAAAUAAAAAAUUUGGACCAAAAGCGCUGAGUUAACCACUUUUGCGCAGGCGCAAUAAAGGAGGUUCUCAGUUCAACGCAAAACGCGACGCACCAUCGACGGAAGUCAUGCGUAAAGACGCUCGAGGGUGACACCCCCCCACCCCCCAAAAAUAGCGUUUUAUCUCCGGUAUUAUGAGUUUCUGUUGCUAGUUUCGAUCCCGGAUCCGUGUCCAGCUCGCUUAAAUCCCCAGCAGGCGAUGUGGGAAACGUCUAAUCAACAAGUUUAUACGGAGGUGUGAGGCAGCCAUUGUUGCUCUCCGUUUGAAAUGCGCUGAUGAGCUAGCAUCGAGCCGGCAGAUCCGGACCUGUUAUUUGAAGUCGAGUCUCCACAGUCCCAUAAAGCUGACGGGGGAACUGUUUCUUUAAAAGCGCACCGAAUAAUAAAAAAGGCUCGCACGCCUCGUUUUCUUUUCUUUUCUUUUUUUCUUUAUGCAUACCUUUCUGUCUGGCUGGCUGGCUGUGUUGAUUCCAGUCCAUACUGUGGUCCAUAAAAGUAGCUGGCUACUUACAAGACAAUACUAAAUACUCCAACAGAAAAUCUGCAAUGGAAGCUCAACCAAAAAGAUUCAUAUUUUAUAUUGGUAUACCUUUUUUGAUAUAAAGCGUCGCGUAAUGGCUCUCCACCCGGGGAAUCAUGGCUUGGAGGGCGCCUCAAUUAGAACCUAAAGUUGCUGUUGAGUUGUUGUACCACUUAACAGCCACAAGGUCAUAGAGUGCUGCUCCACAUUGCUUAAAUGAGGGUAUGAUUAGUCCUUUCCAAGUUGUUGGUAUUUAUUAAAAUUAAGAGCAUGAUUUUAUCCCCAGAAUAGACGUUUAAGUUACAAAACUGGAAACUAUGUGGCUUCAAGUCAGGAUGCUGUUUGUUAUUGUUAUGGAAAUGACUGACAUUCAGGUUUCUUAACCUCCUACUUGUCAGCAUAUUGAUCCCAUCUUCUCUGUUUGCUUUUUAAGUGGUUGUGUAUUAAUGCAGAUGGAGAGUUGGUGGUCUUUUCUUUUACAAUGCGCAAACUGAGAUCAAUAACAUGGACAAGGUGCAAAAGUGGUAAAUCAUGUGUGGCUUGAUUUAAAUUAUCUGCUUACAUCGAAUGAUUGAAUUGAUAACGGGCACUUAGACACAAGUCCUUAGAUAUCCGUAAAUCUGAAACUCUGUUUUUAUUUCCUUUACUAAUCAAUUUUCAGGUAGAGUCAAGAAAAUAUGUAUGUUUUAUUAGUGUUAGCAUACCAAAUAUAUUUUUGAAGGUUUUACGUUAAGUUGACUGACAAAAAAAAA